GGUACGAGGUGGAGGGCAAAAGGACAACGCUGCGUGAGACUCACACUCGCUUCACUCCUGCUGCCCAAACUACGACUGCUGGUAUCGCGUGGCUUCGAAUCAGGGAACCGAAGCGACGCGACUCACAGCUCCAGUCAGCCCCGGCCAGUGCUUGUGUUGUGUCAUAAGGUGCGCUUGUGUGUGAUGGAUUGUGCUUUCUAUCAUUACUGGUCAAAGUGACAAAACCUGCUAAAGCUGUACCCGAAGCCUACCACCAGCAGCCCAGUUGUGAUGGCCAUGAGGACGAGGACAGACCGCUACACGUCACAAACAAGGUCGGCAUUUGAAGGUAGAAUAAUGAAUACCACGUAGGAGAUUAUUCUGUGCAUCUGUUGGUUUAAUGUGGCAAGCAAUUACUUAAGGAGGUGGCAUGACGGGACUGAAGCAACGCAGGCUAAAAAGAAGCCAUCUAAAAGUUAAUACUCUCUCUCUCUCUCUCUCUCUCUCUCUCUCUCUCUCUCUCUCUCUCUCUCUCUCUCUCUCUCUCUCUCUCUCUGAAGUAAAGUGGAAAACAUGUCUUAAGAGUCUGCAAACUUCUCCAAAA